AUGUCACGACACCAUCACCGCUUUGAGAGAGACUAUCGAGGCCCCUGGGACCGUCGCGAGCGAGCCGGAGGCCUUCACAAUGGCGUUGGCAACAGCACCUGCUCCUCAGCACCGCCCGUGGCCAACGGCAACAACCGUCCGGGACUCCUCCCGCUCCCGGUCAUCCCGUCCCUCCUUCCCACCCCUGUGACCAUCGCCGUGACCUGUUUUGUGUCAUAUAGUCUGAUCUCAAUCGUAUGUAUUGUCUCUUUGCAGGCGGCGGGUCUUUCUCCUGGUGAGACACAGCCUCCGAGUCUCCUGUUGGCUCCUGGAGUGAGAUGGGGCCAGACCCCCAUCAACCAGUCCACUCCGUGGGAGACCGACGAGCCUCCCACCAAGCAGCACAGAGAGAGCGACACCACAGGGCCCCCAUGGGUGCCUCCAGGGGUAGCGGCCAGUCAGCCCAGCUUACUGGCCCAUUCGUAUGGGAUGCCUCAGCCACCCGCCUAUAGCCAAGGAGUGUCCGUCCAGUCUCCCAUCAUCGGCGUGACCCCAGCCAUCCAGACGCCCAUCCCACCGCACCAUCCACUCAUGACCGCCCACUUCCAGCUUCCUCCCCUCUCCUCCCAAGUGCCAGGUAGCCUGGUCCUAAACCUACAGAACCAGUCACCCUACGCCACCAGCCAGCUGCCAAUCACCCCAUCGCCCCUCACGACGGCCGGCCGGGUAGUUCACCCCGCCCCUCAGAGCGUGGUGGGAAACGGUCACAUGACACACCCGCUCAUACAGCCACCUGCUUUGCCUUCCGCCGCGCUGCCACUAACGAACGGACAGGCGACGACUCAGCCGGCAUCAGCCAAUCAGGAAAGUCCGAUCAGGCUUCAGAUGCUCCGUACGGUCGGAAUGGGGAAGUACGAGUUCACAGACCCGAGUCAUCCGAAAGGUAAGCGGUUCUCUUGGCUUGUUGCAAUUUACUUUCCACAUCGAUGCAACUUGCAAUUGUCUCUUAAGAUGCAAAAGAGCCAAUUACAUUAG
rnacentral:lncRNA from 1 species